rnacentral:rRNA from 1 species
UUGUGGCUGGGGGUGAAAGGCCAAUCAAACCGGGAGAUAGCUGGUUCUCCCCGAAAGCUAUUUAGGUAGCGCCUCGUGAAUUCAUCUCCGGGGGUAGAGCACUGUUUCGGCAAGGGGGUCAUCCCGACUUACCAACCCGAUGCAAACUGCGAAUACCGGAGAAUGUUAUCACGGGAGACACACGGCGGGUGCUAACGUCCGUCGUGAAGAGGGAAACAACCCAGACCGCCAGCUAAGGUCCCAAAGUCAUGGUUAAGUGGGAAACGAUGUGGGAAGGCCCAGACAGCCAGGAUGUUGGCUUAGAAGCAGCCAUCAUUUAAAGAAAGCGUAAUAGCUCACUGGUCGAGUCGGCCUGCGCGGAAGAUGUAACGGGGCUAAACCAUGCACCGAAGCUGCGGCAGCGACACUGUGUGUUGUUGGGUAGGGGAGCGU